UUUGACCCAGCAAUUCCUUUACUGCGUAUAUACCCAAAUGAUUAUAAAUCGUUCUAUUAUAAGGACACAUGCGCACAAAUGUUCAUUGCAGCACUGUUUACAAUAGCA